rnacentral:tmRNA from 1 species
GGGGGUGACUGGUUUCGACUUUGUGCGCCGCGCUAGGGGAAGCGAGUCGAGGAAGCCGACGUUGUCUCGUGAAUCAGUCGUCGGAAAGUUAUAAGCGCCAAUCUUAAGCGCUCCGAUCUCGCUCUUGCUGCCUAAGCAGGAGUAGCAGAUCUGUCGGUCCGGGUUCGCCUUCGACCCGAUCACCGGCAUCAGCUAGAAGGCUGGCCAACCGAGUCCUGUCGCGGGGCUCGUGCGGCGAGAUCAAUCGCGACUGGACCCGUCAUACCGACUCGCUCGCAUGAUCGGUAGGGCCGAGUAGAGGCACAGCGAGCUGCGCUCGGAGAAGCCCUAGCAAAGCAACGAAGGACCCGGGUUCGAUUCCCGGCACCUCCACC